rnacentral:lncRNA from 1 species
UACACACACGCAACAAAAGGCAGCAGAUUGGAGAAAACAUAGAGGAGACAUUGGCCGAAUCACGCUCGGAGAAUUGAGGAAUUAAACAUAUACAAAACUGCUAGGGGGCUGAAAUUGGAACCUCUUGGAACUAAAAAGUGGACGGCAGAAGACAACUCACGGCCAAUCAAUGGGAAAAAGACGACAACUUUAAUUUGGACAUAAAUCACCUUUCGUCAAAUUUCGGUGAUGUCGUUCCACUUUUAUUUGUUUAAUUCUACCAUCAUGUUUAGCUAAUUCCUUUUUUAUGUAUUGGAUGAGACGAACCCUAUUGUUUAUUUAUUUCUAAUUCAAG